UACGGAGGGUGCAAGCGUUAAUCGGAAUUACUGGGCGUAAAGCGUGCGCAGGCGGUUUGUUAAGUCCGGUGUGAAAGCCCCGAGCUCAACUUGGGAAUUGCAGUGGAUACUGGCAGGCUGGAGUACGGUAGAGGAAGGUGGAAUUCCCGGUGUAGCAGUGAAAUGCGUAGAUAUCGGGAGGAACACCUGUGGCGAAAGCGGCUCACUGGACCACAACUGACGCUGAGGCGCGAAAGCUAGGGGAGCAAACAGG
rnacentral:rRNA from 1 species